GGAGAACUUUAACAGUCAGCUCUAAGUUCUGUUUGCAGUUCCAUUUUUAAAAGGAGGCUGGAGAGAUGGCUCGAUGCUUAAAGGCAUGCACUGUAACAAAAGACCCAGAUUCUCUUCCCAGCAACCACGUGGCAGCUCGAUCUGUCUGCACCUCCAGUUCCAGGGCCUCUGACCGUGCUGUUAUCCUUUUCUGUGGACAGACUUCCUGGGAUACGUAUACAGCCAUGGCUAACCUGAAACUAACCUGAAAUUCAAGAUGGGUAAUGUCCUGAGUUCAAUUCCCAGCAACCACAUGGUGGCUCACAACCAUCUGUAAUGAGAUCUGAUGUCCUCUUCUGGUGUGUCUGAAGACAGCUACAGUGCACUCACAUACAUAGAAUAAAUAAAUCCUUUAAAAAGAAAACAGUGAAGUUGGGAAAAUUUACAGGUUAAAAAUGGAGCUAGAGGGGUUGGGGAUUUAGCUCAGUGGUAGAACGCUUGCCUAGGAAGCGCAAGGCCCUGGGUUCGGUCCCCAGCUCCGAAAAAAAGAACCAAAAAAAAAAAAAUGGAGCUAGAAAAAAAUUAUCCUGAAUGAGGUAUCUGAGACCCAAAAAGUAUGGUUGUAUACUUUUCUAUUUGCAUGCUAGCCUUUCAGCCUUUGAUAGGUACACUAUAGUCCUUAUAGCAACAAGUUAGAAAUAGAAUAAGGGACUGGAAGGAGGGGAGACUCUUCGAGGAAUGGGAAUUAAAAUUCAAUUACGGAAAGACAAGAACAAGAUUAAAUGGUAAGGGAGAGGAGUAAGAGGAGGAUAAUAAGAAGAAAGAGAUUACAGGGAUAAACAACUAAUGCUAAUUAUCAUGUGAGGGCUUAUAUGGAAACCGACUAGAGUAGAAGCUUCUUAAAAUACGUACAUAUAUGAAAGAAAUCCAAAUGUAGUCACCAAAUAACAGAUGAGAGAGAGCCCCAAAUAGUUAUCCUUCUGGACCAUCUGAAACCUCCAGUGAGGAAUGGAGUACACAUCUAGUUAAGUGACUAGUCAAAGGGGUCCCAUGGAAAUUCCCAAAGUAAGCCUAUCACAAAGGCUAAUGUUUGCUCUCCACAAAGUAAUGGUUAGGCAUUAUUGAAGGCAACACCUACAUCACUGAACAUGGAGAAGUUGAGCUGGUGCCUAACUAAAGCCUUCAGUUCUACUGCCUGGUGUUCUAUUAUAGGCUACCAGAGGAAAAAAGUAACCACCAACCCAUAUUCAAAGCCUUCCCUCUACAAUGAUGAGCAGCCCAUGUGAUAAGUUGGUCAAUAGUGAGUGGCACAAUGAACAUUGCAGAGUGACCAACCGUAACUGGAGUUAAAACUCUAAUUUUCUUACAAUUGUAUUAACUUGGCUACAAAAUUAUUAAGAGCUCUGUAAACAUUGUGAUGUCUGUUUCAAAAUAAGAGUUGAAAUAACGGCUGGAGAGAUGGCUCAGCAGUUAAGAGCACCCGACUACUCUUCCAGAGGUCCUGAGUUCAAUUCCCAGCAACCACAUGGUGGCUCACAACCAUCUGUAAAGAGAACCGAUGCUCUCUUCUGGUGUGUCUGAAGACAGCUACAGUGUACUUAUAUAUAAUAAAUGAAUAAAUCUU
rnacentral:lncRNA from 1 species